rnacentral:lncRNA from 1 species
CGGGUGAAGAAAAUACACUCAGAUAUCAUGACGAAAAACUCGGAAAAGCAUCUGAUCUAGGUCAGAACCAUCAUCGACCAUAAGGUCUCAGAAAAAUCCCCAAAAAUCUCAAAAAGAGUUCAACCAAGACAACGAGAUGUAGAGAAACAUAAUCGGAUCGUCGUCUAGGCUCUGAUACCAUGUAAACAUUGAUAUUAGAUCGAGAAAUCAUGGAAAAUGUAGAGAGAAGGCAGAGCGUUUGGAACUCUCUAGAAUAGAGAGAGAGUUUAUACAGAGAAAUAAUGUUGUAA